rnacentral:rRNA from 1 species
GACGAACGCUGGCGGCGUGCUUAACACAUGCAAGUCGAACGAAGAGCGAUGGAAGCUUGCUUCUAUCAAUCUUAGUGGCGAACGGGUGAGUAACGCGUAAUCAACCUGCCCUUCAGAGGGUGACAACAGUUGGAAACGACUACUAAUACCGCAUACGAUCCAAUCUCGGCAUCGAGGAUGGAUGAAAGGUGGCCUCUAUUUAUAAGCUAUCACUGAAGGAGGGGAUUGCGUCCGAUUAGCUAGUUGGAGGGGUAACGGCCCACCAAGGCAAUGAUCAGUAGCCGGUCUGAGAGGAUGAACGGCCACAUUGGGACUGAGACACGGCCCAGACUCCUACGGGAGGCAGCAGUGGGGAAUCUUCCGCAAUGGACGAAAGUCUGACGGAGCAACGCCGCGUGAGCGAUGACGGCCUUCGGGUUGUAAAGCUCUGUUAAUCGGGACGAAAGGUCCUCUUGCGAAUAGUUAGAGGAAUUGACGGUACCGGAAUAGAAAGCCACGGCUAACUACCUGC